rnacentral:rRNA from 1 species
UUAUACAGCGAAACUGCGAAUGGCUCAUUAUAUAAGUUAUCGUUUAUUUGAUAGUACCUUACUACUUGGAUAACCGUGGUAAUUCUAGAGCUAAUACAUGCUAAAAAUCCCGACUUCGGAAGGGAUGUAUUUAUUAGAUUAAAAACCAAUGCCCUCCGGGGCUCACUGGUGAUUCAUGAUAACUCCUCGAAUCGCAUGGCCUUGCGCCGGCGAUGGUUCAUUCAAAUUUCUUCCCUAUCAACUUUCGAUGUUUGGGUAUUGGCCAAACAUGGUUGCAACGGGUAACGGAGGGUUAGGGCUCGACCCCGGAGAAGGAGCCUGAGAAACGGCUACUACAUCCAAGGAAGGCAGCAGGCGCGCAAAUUACCCAAUCCCGACUCGGGGAGGUAGUGACAAUAAAUACUGAUACAGGGCUCUUUUGGGUCUUGUAAUUGGAAUGAGUACAAUUUAAAUCCCUUAACGAGGAACAAUUGGAGGGCAAGUCUGGUGCCAGCAGCCGCGGUAAUUCCAGCUCCAAUAGCGUAUAUUAAAGUUGUUGUGGUUAAAAAGCUCGUAGUUGAACCUUGGGCCUGGCUGGCCGGUCCGCCUCACCGCGUGUACUGGUCCGGCCGGGCCUUUCCCUCUGUGGAACCCCAUGCCCUUCACUGGGUGUGGCGGGGAAACAGGACUUUUACUGUGAAAAAAUUAGAGUGCUCCAGGCAGGCCUAUGCUCGAAUACAUUAGCAUGGAAUAAUAGAAUAGGACGUGUGGUUCUAUUUUGUUGGUUUCUAGGACCGCCGUAAUGAUUAAUAGGGACAGUCGGGGGCAUCAGUAUUCAAUUGUCAGAGGUGAAAUUCUUGGAUUUAUUGAAGACUAACUACUGCGAAAGCAUUUGCCAAGGAUGUUUUCAUUAAUCAGGAACGAAAGUUAGGGGAUCGAAGACGAUCAGAUACCGUCGUAGUCUUAACCAUAAACUAUGCCGACUAGGGAUCGGACGGUGUUAUAUUUUGACCCGUUCGGCACCUUACGAGAAAUCAAAGUGCUUGGGCUCCA